rnacentral:rRNA from 1 species
CCUACGGGGCGCAGCAGUAGGGAAUAUUGCUCAAUGGGGGAAACCCUGAAGCAGCAACGCCGCGUGGAGGAUGAAGGUUUUCGAAUUGUAAACUCCUUUUGUUAGAGAAGAUAAUGACGGUAUCUAACGAAUAAGCACCGGCUAACUCCGUGCCAGCAGCCGCGGUAAUACGGAGGGUGCAAGCGUUACUCGGAAUCACUGGGCGUAAAGAGCGCGUAGGCGGGAUGGCAAGUCAGAUGUGAAAUCCAGGGGCUCAACCCCUGAACUGCAUUUGAAACUGUCGUUCUUGAGUACUGGAGAGGUUG